rnacentral:rRNA from 1 species
GACGAACGCUGGCGGCGUGCUUAACACAUGCAAGUCGAACGAAGAGCGACGGAAGCUUGCUUCUAUCAAUCUUAGUGGCGAACGGGUGAGUAACGCGUAAUCAACCUGCCCUUCAGAGGGGGACGACAGUUGGAAACGACUGCUAAUACCGCAUACGAUCUAACCUCGGCAUCGAGGAUAGAUGAAAGGUGGCCUCUACAUGUAAGCUAUCACUGAAGGAGGGGAUUGCGUCUGAUUAGCUAGUUGGAGGGGUAACGGCCCACCAAGGCGAUGAUCAGUAGCCGGUCUGAGAGGAUGAACGGCCACAUUGGGACUGAGACACGGCCCAGACUCCUACGGGAGGCAGCAGUGGGGAAUCUUCCGCAAUGGACGAAAGUCUGACGGAGCAACGCCGCGUGAGUGAUGACGGCCUUCGGGUUGUAAAGCUCUGUUAAUCGGGACGAAAGGCCUUCUUGCGAAUAGUGAGAAGGAUUGACGGUACCGGAAUAGAAAGCCACGGCUAACUACGUG